rnacentral:rRNA from 1 species
UGGGGGAUAUUGCACAAUGGGCGAAAGCCUGAUGCAGCGACGCCGCGUGGGGGAUGAAGGCUUUCGGGUUGUAAACCUCUUUCGCUAUCGAACAAGGCCCGCUUAGGGUGGGUUGAGGGUAGGUGGAGAAGAAGCGCCGGCUAACUACGUGCCAGCAGCCGCGGUAAUACGUAGGGCGCGAGCGUUGUCCGGAAUUAUUGGGCGUAAAGGGCUUGUAGGCGGCUUGUUGCGCCUGCUGUGAAAACGCGGGGCUUAACUUCGCGCGUGCAGUGGGUACGGGCAGGCUUGAGUGUGGUAGGGGUGACUGGAAUUCCAGGUGUAGCGGUGGAAUGUGCAGAUAUCUGGAGGAACACCGAUGGCGAAGGCAGGUCACUGGGCCAUUACUGACGCUGAGGAGCGAAAGCAUGGGUAGCGAACAGG